UGGGGAAUAUUGGACAAUGGGCGCAAGCCUGAUGCAGCAACGCCGCGUGAGGGACGACGGCCUUCGGGUUGUAAACCUCUUUUAGUAGGGAAGAAGCGAAAGUGACGGUACCUGCAGAAAAAGCACCGGCUAACUACGUGCCAGCAGCCGCGGUAAUACGUAGGGUGCAAGCGUUAUCCGGAAUUAUUGGGCGUAAAGAGCUCGUAGGCGGUUUGUCGCGUCUGCUGUGAAAACUGGAGGCUCAACCUCCAGCCUGCAGUGGGUACGGGCAGACUAGAGUGCGGUAGGGGAGAUUGGAAUUCCUGGUGUAGCGGUGGAAUGCGCAGAUAUCAGGAGGAACACCGAUGGCGAAGGCAGAUCUCUGGGCCGUAACUGACGCUGAGGAGCGAAAGCAUGGGGAGCGAACAGGAUUAGAUACCCACGUAGUCCCUGAGCGGGCUGGCAAGGCGC
rnacentral:rRNA from 1 species